AUUGAACGCUGGCGGCAGGCCUAACACAUGCAGGUCGAGCGGCAGCGGGAAAGUAGCUUGCUACUUUUGCCGGCGAGCGGCGGACGGGUGAGUAAUGCCUGGGGAUCUGCCCAGUCGAGGGGGAUAACUACUGGAACGGGUGGCUAUUACCGCAUAGGCCCUACGGGGGAAAGCGGGGGACCUCCGGCCCUGGCGCGAUGGGAGGAACCCAGGGGGGUUUAGUUGGUUGGGGAGGUAAUGGCUCACCAAGGCGACGACCCCUAGCUGGGCUGGGAGGAUGAUCAGCCACACUGGAACUGAGACACGGUCCAGACUCCUACGGGAGGCAGCAGUGGGGAAUAUUGCACAAUGGGGGAAACCCUGAUGCAGCCAUGCCGCGUGUGUGAAGAAGGCCUUCGGGUUGUAAAGCACUUUCAGCGAGGAGGAAAGGUUGGUAGCUAAUAACUGCCAGCUGUGACGUUACUCGCAGAAGAAGCACCGGCUAACUCCGUGCCAGCCGCCGCAGUAA
rnacentral:rRNA from 1 species